ACGGCUCAGUAACACGUGGAUAACCUGCCCUAAGGAAGGGGAUAGCCCCGGGAAACUGGGGAUAAUACCCUAUAGGUUACAGAUGCUGGAAUGCCCUGUAACCCAAAGCUCCGGCGCCUUAGGAUGGAUCUGCGGCCGAUUAGGUUGUUGUUGGGGUAACGGCCCAACAAGCCAGUAAUCGGUACGGGUUGUGGGAGCAAGAGCCCGGAGAUGGAUUCUGAGACACGAAUCCAGGCCCUACGGGGCGCAGCAGGCGCGAAAACUUUACAAUGCGGGAAACCGUGAUAAGGGAACUCCGAGUGUCCGUCAAUGCGGACUGUCCGUAUGUUUAAAAAGCAUGCGAAGAAAGGGCCGGGCAAGACCGGUGCCAGCCGCCGCGGUAAUACCGGCGGCUCGAGUGGUGGCCGCUAUUACUGGGCUUAAAGGGUCCGUAGCUUGAUAAUAGGGUCCCUUGAGAAAUCCGCCGGCUUAACUGGCGGGCGUUCAGGGGAAACUUGUUUUCUAGGGACCGGGAGAGGUGAGGGGUACUGCCGGGGUAGGAGUGAAAUCCUGUAAUCCCGGUGGGACCACCUAUGGCGAAGGCACCUCACCAGAACGGGUCCGACAGUGAGGGACGAAAGCUGGGGGAGCAAACCGGAUUAGAUACCCGGGUAGUCCCAGCUGUAAACUAUGUGCGUUAGGUGUGUCAGUGACCACGUGUCACUGAGGUGCCGAAGGGAAACCGUGAAACGCACCGCCUGGGGAGUACGGUCGCAAGGCUGAAACUUAAAGGAAUUGGCGGGGGAGCAC
rnacentral:rRNA from 1 species